CGCUUGGUGAGAUUCGAAGAGAAUGGAGCAAACGAAUUUAGGGUUACAAUGCAUGUGGGGAUAUGGAUAUUGGAUAAUUUCAGGAAGUGAAAGAUGGCGAGUUUCUUAUGGAGAUUCAUUUCUUAUAUCUAGUUGAGAGAGAUCUGGCAUGUUACAUGAGUAAUGGCGCUGUAGAGUGAAAGAGAUUUCAUGGAGAAGAAUUGGAUAAAAAGAAGAGAGAGAAAGAUUUCAGAGGGCAUGCCUGCGGAUUGGGGGCACUGCAAGAACCAGCCUUCAACUUCUACCUCAGACGAACCACUUCAUUUGAGGGCACAAGGAAAGUCACAGAAAUUAGGGCAACAAUAUUAUAAGCUAUAUCUACCAUGAUCAAAGUUUUCUCAAUAUGAAUGACCCUCCAUUUAUUAAGUUCGACGGUGGAUGCCAUAGAGAGUACUGUGCCUGUCUUUAGGAAGAAGUGCUUAAACUCUUUCGAGAUAUG
rnacentral:lncRNA from 1 species